UACGUAGGGUGCGAGCGUUGUUCGGAUUUACUGGGCGUAAAGGGCGCGUAGGCGGCCAGCACAAGUCAGUUGUGAAAUCUCCGAGCUUAACUCGGAACGGUCAACUGAUACUGUGCGGCUAGAGUGCGGAAGGGGCAACUGGAAUUCUUGGUGUAGCGGUGAAAUGCGUAGAUAUCAAGAGGAACACCUGCGGCGAAGGCGGGUUGCUGGGCCGACACUGACGCUGAGGCGCGGAAAGCCAGGGGAGCGAACGGG
rnacentral:rRNA from 1 species